UAAUUCACGCAGGAUAAACCAAUAGCACGAUUCGUAGACUACCACAAACGUGAAUUGGAAAAGAAAAGACAAGAAAAAGAAAGGCAAUUACUCAAUGAAAACAGAAUUGAUAACAUCAGAGAUCCAAUAUUCAAGAAAGAUAUGAAAAAGUUAUACAAGAAAUUUUCAACAAAUGGACUCACGUUAGAGUUUUUCGAAAUACCACGUCUAAAGGAGAAGGCUAGGGAGG